GCCUCUUUAUAAAUUCUUCAAUUUGACUUAUGGUGCUGUGGGUCAGAUGCUCUUUGUGACCUUCUGGAAGGGAAGUUUUUAGUGACCUAGAGAAGGAGCAAUAGGAAGGCCAAUAUCUACACUAUGAACAGAAGUAGAAAUGGUGAUGGAUUGUCUGGCAAGAUGCAUUUGGCUUUUCAGGGAAGAACAGGGGUGGCCUCCAAUGACCAAUGAAACCAAGGAAAGAGAAAAAAUUUUCUGCUAGAAAAUGUAUCUGAUCAAAAAAAUAUAAUGCUUAUAUGACACUUAUUCAGGCAGACUCCUUUAAAGUCUUUACAGAGAACACUGUGUUCCACUGUGUUGCAGAAAUCAGUAAAAUUGCAGGAGAGUCACUGUCAGCUGGAUAUUGGUGCUGUAUAGCUUGGUGA
rnacentral:lncRNA from 1 species